GUGGGGAAUAUUGGACAAUGGGCGAAAGCCUGAUCCAGCCAUGCCGCGUGUGUGAAGAAGGUCUUCGGAUUGUAAAGCACUUUAAGUUGGGAGGAAGGGCAUUAACCUAAUACGUUAGUGUUUUGACGUUACCGACAGAAUAAGCACCGGCUAACUUCGUGCCAGCAGCCGCGUUAAUACGAAGGGUGCAAGCGUUAAUCGGAAUUACUGGGCGUAAAGCGCGCGUAGGUGGUUCAGUAAGUUGGAUGUGAAAUCCCCGGGCUCAACCUGGGAACUGCAUCCAAAACUGGCGAGCUAGAGUACGGUAGAGGGUGGUGGAAUUUCCUGUGUAGCGGUGAAAUGCGUAGAUAUAGGAAGGAACACCAGUGGCGAAGGCGACCACCUGGACUGAUACUGACACUGAGGUGCGAAAGCGUGGGGAGCAAACAGGAUUAGAAACCCCAGUAGUCC
rnacentral:rRNA from 1 species